rnacentral:rRNA from 1 species
CAGGUCUUGACAUCCUCUGACAACUCUAGAGAUAGAGCGUUCCCCUUCGGGGGACAGAGUGACAGGUGGUGCAUGGUUGUCGUCAGCUCGUGUCGUGAGAUGUUGGGUUAAGUCCCGCAACGAGCGCAACCCUUGAUCUUAGUUGCCAGCAUUUAGUUGGGCACUCUAAGGUGACUGCCGGUGACAAACCGGAGGAAGGUGGGGAUGACGUCAAAUCAUCAUGCCCCUUAUGACCUGGGCUACACACGUGCUACAAUGGAUGGUACAAAGGGCUGCAAGACCGCGAGGUCAAGCCAAUCCCAUAAAACCAUUCUCAGUUCGGAUUGUAGGCUGCAACUCGCCUACAUGAAGCUGGAAUCGCUAGUAAUCGCGGAUCAGCAUGCCGCGGUGAAUACGUUCCCGGGCCUUGUACACACCGCCCGUCACACCACGAGAGUUUGUAACACCCGAAGUCGGUGGAGUAACCGUAAGGAGC